rnacentral:rRNA from 1 species
AGUGAAUAGAUACCCUGGUAGUCCUAGCCGUAAACGAUGGAUACUAGGUGUUAGAGGUAUCGACCCCUCUAGUGCCGGAGCUAAACGCAUUAAGUAUCCCGCCUGGGGAGUACGACCGCAAGGUUGAAACUCAAAGGAAUUGACGGGGGCCCGCACAAGCGGUGGAGCAUGUGGUUUAAAUACGUCACUAACCGUAGAACCUUACCCAGGCUUGACAUCUAGGGAACUCUGGUGAAAGCCGGAGGUGCCUUCGGGAGCCCCAAGACAGGUGUUGCAUGGCUGUCGUCAGCUCGUGUCGUGAGAUGUUGGGUUAAGUCCCGCAACGAGCGCAACCCCAUCCGAUGUUGCCAGCGUAAAGUCGGGAACUCUUCGGAAACUGCCCGUGUAAGCGGGAGGAAGGUGGGGAUGACGUCAAGUCAGCAUGGCCCUUACGCCUGGGGGCUACACACAUGCUACAAUGGACGCUAACAAAGGGCAGCAAUACCGCGAGGUGGAGCGAAUCUCAAAAACUGCGUCCUCAGUUCGGAUUGUAGUCUGCAACUCGACUAC